UAUCGUCAGCCAGGAGUCAAAACCUCGUAACUCUGAAUUUUGACCAAAGUAGGAUUUUAACAAGAUGGCAAUAUACCUGCUGUUAUAUUUCUUGUCAAAAAAGCUUGUGUCUCAAUACAAUCAGAAGACUGCAAGUUCCUAAAGGCAAAACCAUGUAUCUUGACUUAAGAGAUUUUGACAGUAUAUUAUUAUGAUGCUGAAAAGUCCAGAGGUGGCAUUGAGUAGAACACGUGGAAGAGAAUCGUGAUAUGUCCGACCCUGAAGGUUCUGUAGAGGACUAUGAUGUGAUAUGGACAUGUUUUGAAUGUAAUGAAACGCCAAUAGAUGCUGACAACUUUUUUAUGUUGAUGGGACCGAAUGGUUACGUUGCUAUUACUGCGAUAGACAUUUUCAUUUGAAAUGUAUUGAUAACUUCCCUUCUGACGCGGAAAUAGAAGAUAUUGAAAGUGAUUACUACACGUGUUCACAUUGUGGGUGGUUCAUGAGACCAAGACCGAAAGUAUGACUUCUAAUUCUAAUUCAUAUGAAUGGCUUAGGAACAGUGACACAAUACAAGUUACUUCAGACACACGGAACAUUUCUCAAAUACUUAGAAGGAGAGAAUUAGUACAAUACUCAUCAGUGUGUAAACAAUAUAAUUUUAUUUCACAUUGCUAUCAUAGCUUUUUCCCACAAACAACUCCACGCUACAUAGUAAUAGAAUACAAGGGAAACGGAGAAUAUAAGACAUUGGAGUUUAAUUUUCAUCCAAAUUGUAAGAAUGGCUGCUAAAGAUUUCAAACAUUUUACACUUUCAAGAGGUCAGAUUUGUCUACAACUUGCAUUGAAUAAGAUUACCAGUCUUAGCAACAUAAAUCUACAUGUUUGCUUAAUGAAUUAUCUGAGCUUGAGGAAUAUCUUGAGGAUUCAGAUGCAGAUCCUGACUGGGCUCCGCCAAAGUCCUCAGAAGAAACUGUAGAAGAUAUUGAUAUAGCAUGUCAUGAGGAUGAAUCAAGUCUCAGCGAACUUGAAGAGAACAUAAGUACGGGACCAACAAAGUCUAAAAAGGCCAAAAAGGGGAGAAGUAAUCCAAAACAAUGGAAACGCAAUAUAAACAAAGCAUCUAGAAUGAAGGGAUAAUCGUAUAAAAGCGUACGAAAAACAGUGGAUGGACAAUACACAGAAAUUGACAGAGAACCAAGACAUAUGGGCCCUCGUUGCUGUUCCAACCUCUGUCUGAGGAGCAAAAUUAGACAUUGCUCAGAAUUUUCAAAUGAAACCAGGCAAGAAAUAUUUCCAGCUUCUGGGACAUGGAUUGGUCUAAAAAAAGAUGUACGUUUCUACAAUGGUGGAUUCCAUAAAGACAAAGGAACAAACAACAGAACAGGGGAACUCUAGAAGGAAACAAAGUGAUGCGUAUCACUUGAAGAAAAGUGAUGGUCGUUUUAAGGUCUGCAAAAGUAUGUUCCUGUCAACUUUAGGUUUAGGAGAGUGGUCAGUACACAGUUGGCUUAAUACAUCAAAGUCUGGAAUGCACAGUCCAUCGUCCGAGAAUACUACGCCUAAACGAGCUAAACCGGAACAUGCGGCAAAGAGGGAAAUUGUAAACCGGUUUUUAGAUUCCUUGCCGAAACUUCCUUCGCAUUAUUGCUAAGCCUCAACUGACAAGAUGUAUUUGAAGCCAUGCAUCAGAUCUCAGGUUCAGCACUAUCGCUUGUAUGUGGAACAUUGCAAAGAAAAGAACAACGACCCAUUGUCACAAACAGUGUUUAAUGAUGUUGUUAGAGACAAGAACAUUGGUUUGUUCCAACCCCAAAAAGAUCAGUGUGAUGUUUACUGUGCAUUUGAAUCUGGUAAUGUAGAAGAAUCAGAGUACAAGAAACACAUAGAUCGGAAAACACAGGCCAGAGAAGAAAAAUCAAAAGACAAACAGGCAGCAGAGGAUGGUCAAGGAAAGGUUAUAACAUUAGACUUGCAGGCUGUGUUGUUGACACCAUGUCUGCAAGCGAGCGCUAUGUACCACAAAACUAAACUAUCCUGUCAUAACUUUACGAUGUAUGACUUGACGUUACACAAUGUAGUAUGUUACUUUUGGCAUGAAGGUGAAAGGGAUCUUGGGUCAAAUAGUUUUGCAUCCUGUUUGUGAGACUAUAUCACAAAUGAAUUAGGAGAUACAGACCAAAUUACAAUCUACAGUGAUGGCUGUACGUAUCAGAACAGGAAUAUUACCCUGGCAAAUGCUUUGUUGCAUUUAGUUGUAACAAAAGGAAUGACCAUUACGCAAAAGAUCCUGGAAAAAGGACACACUCAGAUGGAAUGUGAUAGUAUACAUAGUACCAUCGAAAGGAGUCUGCGCCACAAAACAAUUUACAGUCCCGCCAACUAUGUGGAAGCUAUCAAGUCAGCGCGACUGUCAAAUCCAUACAAAGUUAAGUACUAGGAUCAUACAUUCUUCAUGGAUUACUCAAAUGUUCGUUAUUACUCUUCCAUUCGCCCAGGUACAAAAGUUGGUGAUGCUUGUGUUACGGAUAUCAGUGUGCUGAAGUAUACCCCCGACGGAAACAUUGAGUACAAACUUAUGUAUAAUGAAGAUUUCAAUGAAUUGCUAAGACGUGCAAAGUGCCAAGGACCACAAGUAACGGUCACACAGUUGCACAAUGCCCCAUUAAAUAUAAAGGACAGGAAAUAUGGACACCUGCAAGAAUUGAAAAAAGUUAUUCCAAAGGAUUACCAUGGCUUUUAUGAUGCUUUGCCCCACAGCAAUUAGUGGACAAAGAUAGGACCAGCUUUGUUGUAGUUAAAUGAACUUUAAACUGUUGUAAAAAACAAAACUUAUUCAAAAUUUUUCAUGGAUUGAAUAGAUACUUACCAAGAGGUAUUUGGUUGUACUAUUAUGUCGUUGAAAGUUGUGUUUUUUAGCCCUAAAAGUUAUAGUAAUUUUGAAUAUUUGCUGCUUAUUUGAUAAUUUCACACAAGAUAAACUAUUUUAUAAGUUAAAUUUUCGUGUCAUAUGGUAAAACUUUCAUUAAUACUAGUCAUCAAGAUAAUUUAAAGUUGGAGACAAAUGUUAGUUAUUAACUUGUUUGUUCUUCCGAAAUGUAGCAUUCAAUUGAGGUGGAUUUAGUCUAUUUGCUCGAUUGUUUUGUGAUUAUGGUGUCAUUAUUAUAACUGUGUUUCAGUUAAAGAUAGUUGAAAGUUAUAACUAUAUUCGGUUUUAUAGCUAUAAUCAGCUUAAGAUAGUUAAAAGCCAGAGUUAAAUGUUAAGUUGCCAGUUGAUUUUGUCUGUCUAUCAGAUAUUUCUAAGUUUUAUUUAUGUGUUUUUAGUCUAUUUACUCAAUUGUCAUGUCAUUAUGGUUCAAGUCGUAUAACUUUAUAACUACAGUCAGCUGAAGAUAAAUGAAAGUUUGAGUUGAAUGUUCAAUUUGCGCUUGUUUGUCCGUUCAUUGAUAUCGAGUUCAUGUGUUUCUAUAGGCAUGUAAUCUACUGCUACAGAUCUUAUAUCUAUAUUCCUUUAAAAAUUAUCAAAUGUUUUAAUAUAGUCGUUAGUUAAUUUUAUUUUUCCCGUAUCGAUAAUAAUUUCAAAACAUUCCGUUGAGAUUAUAUUUUGCAAAUGCAUGAAUGGCUAUGAUAGUUUGCACCCCUUUGUUUAUUUCUCAACAAUCUUAAUAGUUGGAAAUAAAACUGAAUUAACUUUC